rnacentral:tRNA from 1 species
AGGAUGAUAGUUAAUAAUAACAGUUGGCUUGCAUUCAAAAAGUACUGAAAAUUUCAGUUCAUCUU